GUCUGGAACUCCGUGUCCUCGCUGAUCGGAAUGACGGCCAGUCCCUGGUCGGCCAUACCGCCCACGGUGAAGG
rnacentral:sRNA from 1 species